rnacentral:rRNA from 1 species
UACGUAGGGAGCAAGCGUUGUCCGGAUUUACUGGGUGUAAAGGGUGCGUAGGCGGCAUGGUAAGCCAGAUGUGAAAGCCUUGGGCUUAACCCGAGGAUUGCAUUUGGAACUAUCAAGCUAGAGUACAGGAGAGGAAAGCGGAAUUCCUAGUGUAGCGGUGAAAUGCGUAGAUAUUAGGAGGAACACCAGUGGCGGAGGCGGCUUACUGGACGGUAACUGACGCUGAGGCUCGAAAGCGUGGGGAGCAAACAGG